rnacentral:rRNA from 1 species
UACAGAGGUCUCGAGCGUUAGGCGGAAUCACUGGGCUUAAAGCGUGUGUAGGCGGAUCGUUAAGUGCCUUGUGAAAUCCCACGGCUCAACCGUGGAACUGCUUGGCAUACUGGCGGUCUUGAGCAACCUAGGGGCGAGCGGAACAAAUGGUGGAGCGGUGAAAUGCGUAGAUAUCAUUUGGAACGCCAAUGGUGAAAACAGCUCGCUGGGGGUUUGCUGACGCUGAGACACGAAAGCCAGGGGAGCAA